UACAGAGGUCUCGAGCGUUAGGCGGAAUCACUGGGCUUAAAGCGUGUGUAGGCGGAUCGGUAAGUACCUUGUGAAAUCCCACAGCUUAACUGUGGAACUGCUUGGUAUACUGCCAGUCUUGAGCCAGCUAGGGGCUACCGGAACAAAUGGUGGAGCGGUGAAAUGCGUAGAUAUCUGGAGGAACACCGGUGGCGAAAGCGGCUCACUGGACCGUCUCUGACGCUGAGGUGCGAAAUCCAGGGUAGCGAACGGG
rnacentral:rRNA from 1 species